GACGAACGCUGGCGGCGUGCCUAAUACAUGCAAGUCGAGCGGAACUGGGGGAGCUUGCUCCUUCCAGUUUAGCGGCGGACGGGUGAGUAACACGUGGGCAACCUGCCCUGCAGAUCGGGAUAACUCCGGGAAACCGGUGCUAAUACCGAAUAGUUUGGCGCCUCUCCUGAGGCGCUACGGAAAGACGGUUUCGGCUGUCACUGCAGGAUGGGCCCGCGGCGCAUUAGCUAGUUGGUGGGGUAACGGCCCACCAAGGCGACGAUGCGUAGCCGGCCGGGGAGGGUGACAGGCCACACUGGGACUGAGACACGGCCCAGACUCCUACGGGAGGCAGCAGUAGGGAAUCUUCCGCAAUGGACGCAAGUCUGACGGAGCAACGCCGCGUGAGUGACGAAGGUUUUCGGAUCGUAAAACUCUGUUGUGAGGGAAGAACACGUACCAACUAACUAUUGGUACCUUGACGGUACCUCGCCAGAAAGCCACGGCUAACUACGUGCCAGCCGCCGCAGUAA
rnacentral:rRNA from 1 species